UAUGUGAUCGUCUCUCGCAUAUCAAUAAGCGGAGGAAAAGAAACUAACAAGGAUUCCCCUAGUAACGGCGAGUGAAGCGGGAAGAGCUCAAAUUUGAAAUCUUGAAGGGUUUCCCUUUACGAAUUGUAGUUUAAAGAAGUGUUUUCUGUUGAGGUUUUGGUAAAAGUUCUUUGGAAUAGGACAUCAUAGAGGGUGAGAAUCCCGUAUUUGACCUUUACUUUCAACUUUGUGAUACACUUUCAAAGAGUCGGAUUGUUUGGGAAUGCAGUCCAAAAUGGGUGGUAAAUUUCAUCUAAAGCUAAAUAUUGGCGAGAGACCGAUAGCGAACAAGUACCGUGAGGGAAAGAUGAAAAGAACUUUGAAAAGAGAGUUAAACAGUACGUGAAAUUGUCAAAAGGGAAGCGUUUGACACCAGUGUCGUUUUUCUGAAAAUCAAUUAAAGAACUGUUUAGGCUAAGUUGUUUAGACUUUAUCAGCUAACUGUUUAGUUUUGAGCUUUUCUUUAAUGCACUUUUCAGUUAACAAGUCAACAUCAAUUUCUUUUGCUGUAAAAAAGCUUGAGGAAGGUGGCUUGAGAUUCGUCUUAAGUGUUUAUAGCCUCUUGCCUAUGCAGUCGGAGAGAUUGGGGUCUGCAGCGUAGAUCCUUCGGGGCUAAAUGCAUUUGUGCUAAGUUAUAGCAUUUUAUAGACAACUUGUUGACUAUGAUUUGUCUUGUAGCUUACUCGCUUAUGUUAUUUUACCUACGCUUAGGAUGUUGAAGUCAUCGUAUCGCGC
rnacentral:rRNA from 1 species